rnacentral:rRNA from 1 species
CCUACGGGAGGCAGCAGUGAGGAAUAUUGGUCAAUGGACGAGAGUCUGAACCAGCCAAGUAGCGUGAAGGAUGACUGCCCUAUGGGUUGUAAACUUCUUUUAUAAAGGAAUAAAACGAGGCACGUGUGCCUUUUUGAAUGUACUUUAUGAAUAAGGAUCGGCUAACUCCGUGCCAGCAGCCGCGGCAAUACGUAGGUGGCAAGCGUUGUUCGGAAUAACUGGGCGUAAAGGAUGCGUAGGCGGUUGAACAAGUUAUAUGGUAAAUAUAUAGGCUUAAACUGUAGAAAGCAGAUGAUACUGGUUAACUAGAGUGCAGGAGAGGUGAGUGGAAUUCCAGGUGUAGCGGUGAAAUGCGUAGAGAUAAGGAAGAACACCAGUGGCGAAGGCGGCUUACUGGACUGUAACUGACGCUGAGGCACGAGAGCAUGGGGAGCAAACAGGAUUAGAUACCCCAGUAGUC